CCUACGUGAGGCAGCAGUGGGGAAUAUUGCACAAUGGGGGAAACCCUGAUGCAGCGACGCCGCGUGAGUGAAGAAGUAUUUCGGUACGUAAAGCUCUAUCAGCAGGGAAGAAAAUGACGGUACCUGUCUAAGAAGCCCCGGCUAACUACGUGCCAGCAGCCGCGGUCAUACGUAGGGGGCAAGCGUUAUCCGGAUUUACUGGGUGUAACGGGAGCGUAGACGGCUGCGCAAGUCUGGAGUGAAAUCCCAGGGCUUAACCAUGGAACUGCUUUGGAAACUGUGCAGCUGGAGUGCAGGAGAGGUAAGCGGAAUUCCUAGUGUAGCGGUGAAAUGCGUAGAUAUUAGGAGGAACACCAGUGGCGAAGGCGGCUUACUGGACUGUAACUGACGUUGAGGCUCGAAAGCGUGGGGAGCAAACAGGAUUAGAUACCCCAGUAGUC
rnacentral:rRNA from 1 species